UACGUAGGGGGCAAGCGUUAUCCGGAUUUACUGGGUGUAAAGGGAGCGCAGGCGGCGUGGCAAGUCAGAUGUGAAAACCCGGGGCCCAACCCCGGGACUGCAUUGGAAACUGUCAGACUGGAGUGUCGGAGAGGCAGGCGGAAUUCCUGGUGUAGCGGUGAAAUGCGUAGAUAUCAGGAGGAACACCAGUGGCGAAGGCGGCCUGCUGGACGAUGACUGACGUUGAGGCUCGAAAGCGUGGGGAGCAAACAGG
rnacentral:rRNA from 1 species